rnacentral:lncRNA from 1 species
UUUAGUGAGGGAAAAAAAAUCAAUAUGUUAUUUUGGAGGGAAACAACGUAAAUAUUAAUAUUAUUUUUUAAAAUACAUAGUUAUGCGGGCCUAACGGACAACCCGCAACCUAUACGGACUGACCCUAAUGGGUAGCAGACUUUUUAAGACUGGGCUAAAAAAAGCCUUGAAAAUAUGGACUCUAAUUUUAAGCUCCGAGCCCUUUAUGAUUUUUCGGGAUUAGCGGGCCGACCCAUAUGAGCUAGCCCAUUUUGUCAGCUCUAG